UAGCAUAAUUACAAAAGCUAUACGAUUCCUGUUGGGUUCAAUGAAUUCGUGGACUUCAACUAAUACAUUGAUAUGCAAUAGUUUGUCAAUAUCAAUUUGCAUAUAUCUAUAAAUGUUAAUUAAAACUAACGGGACCAUCUUUGACCCUAAUUUUGUACUCUUUUCGAUUUUUCUCAAAAAGUAGAGGUCUGACGCGAAUUCUGACCAUCGCACACAAUUCUGUGAACACUUUUCUAUAAGAAACGUCCAUAGCGCGAAUCAAAAUAUUUUUCAAUUCCGUACAAGAAAAAAGAAUAGUCAUGCAUGUUCGUCGGAGAACAACGGCGCGCGUAAGGAACAUGCACGACGAAAAUAGUGUUAGUACUGCCCAAAAAACAUUCACAUUUUCUGCAGUC
rnacentral:misc_RNA from 1 species